UUUGGUGUCUUUCAUGCAGGCUCCUGUCAUCUGCCCACUUGGCUUUCUCUAGGCACUUCCAGCUUGCUCCCUCACCAACUACUACUCCCUUAGCUCUGUGGAUCUAUUAGCACCCACCCUGGGGCAGGUUUGAAUGAAGAAACGUGGAUCCUUGAAAGAGUUUCAAAUUUGAAUCUAGGUACAUUAGGCUCCAUCCUUCCAUCCUCUGCCUCCAUCCCAGAUCCCUUGGCCAGUGAGGGCCAAGAAAGGGAACUGAAAAACAAGGAGCCAAGAGGCAGGCAAGGGCGGUCGAUCAGAAUCCUUCACCCUCCUCUCUCCUUCCAUUUUCCAGAAGCCAAGGAGAAAUAGGAAAGCCCAGCACAGUCUCCGCCCCCAAGUUAAGGAAUGCAAAAGGUGAGGGGUCACCAUGGAAACGGCCGAGCCAGGAUCUGUUGGAAAGGAUUUGGCCCGAAGAUUCUAAACUCUAUUUAGCUCCGGGCCUUAAUCACUGCAGAGCGAAGAAUCUUAUAAUCACAAAGACGGGAAGAAUCUUAGAAGUCCUCUGGCUCAGAGAUUCUCCAAAUGUUCAGACUUUAUCAAAAUUGAAAAUUUGUAAUAAAUGAACGAACCGGUGAUAGAAGCGGCCGAGGGCUUGGAGUCUGGACAAACACAAACAUCACACAGACGCAACUCUCUUUGUGCCAACAAUCAUUUUACAUCCCAUAUCCAAAAAGGGAGGAAGGUUCCAUUCUACACAGAGGAGAUUCAGCUCAUAAAUGUAUGCACUUUAAGCAGGGACGGGGUGGUACAUGCCCGCAAUCCUAGCACUUGGAAGGUGGAGACAGAAGAAUCAGGCUUUCAAGAUCAUCCUCAGUGAGCAAAAUUCGAGGCUAGCUGGGCCCCACGAGAUGAGGCCAAAAUGUGCUACUUUACCAGUCAUUUCUCCCUAUUUCACGCACGAGCUCCCGUCAGAGAGGAGGGUGGAUGUUUGAAAACUACUGCUCCGGUUUGCAGCUUUAAAAGUAUUUUUUUUAAUCUA